rnacentral:rRNA from 1 species
CCUACGGGAGGCAGCAGUGAGGAAUAUUGGUCAAUGGGCGGAAGCCUGAACCAGCCAAGUAGCGUGCGUGAUGAAGGCCCUACGGGUCGUAAACCGCUUUUGCACGGGGAUAACACCCUCCACUUGUGGAGGUCUGCAGGUACCGUGCGAAUAAGGGCCGGCUAAUUCCGUGCCAGCUGCCGCGGUAAUACGGAAAGCCCGAGCGUUAUCAGGAUUCAUGGGGCUAAAGGGGAACGUAGGGGGGCGGUCAAGGUAGCUCGAAAAUGGCGCGGCUCAACCGCGACCGGCAGUUGAAACUGGACGCCUUGAGUGCACAACAGGCAGGCGGAAUUCGUGGUGUAGCGGUGAAAUGCAUAGAUAUCACGAGGAACCCCGAUUGCGAAGGCAGCCUGCCGGGGUGCGACUGACGCUGAGGCUCGAAGGUGCGGGUAUCAAACAGGAUUAGAUACCCGGGUAGUC